rnacentral:tRNA from 1 species
GUUAGUGUAGCUCAGAGGUAGAGCACUUGCCAAGUAUGUUUGAGGCUCUAGGUUUGAUUCUUAGCACUACA